AUCAAAUCAAAUUAACCACAAAAAGGAGAAGGGCAAAUAGUGGGAGACUAUGUCAAAAUAUUUACAAGUUAUAAUAGGUUUUUAAGGAGUAUGGAAUGCGGAGAGUACCAAUAUAGUCUAAACUUCAGUCAAUCCUGAGGAUGGGAAAGAGGAGUCUAUGAGAAACAGUCAUUGGUGCACCUGUAUUGAUUCUUGUAUGGAUUUGUGGUAUGCUGUAUUGAAGAAAAGGAGAUUCCUUCAUUUUCAUUAACCCCACUUCACACACCCCUCCCCCAAGGAUGUGUGAAAAGGAAAAGAGACAAAAAUAAAACCAAGUGGAGACUAAAAUACUUUUAGAUGAGAGAGAGUCUGGAGGGAAUUUUAGUUGGCUGCAUUUCCCUGACUGACAGACCAUUUGCCUCUGUAAAAGCUAAUUAUGAGAUACAGUAAUACAAACAGAAGGAACUCACCCAUCAUACUGCCCCAGUAUUUUAAAGGUACAUCCAAAAACAUCCGUGAUGAUCAGUUACAUUAAAGGUGUGUCUUUUCAACUAUCCACAAAGGACAUAAGUGAACAUUUCCCAGCUCAGGUACCAGAGAAACAACUGGAUUCAGGGGUAAAUCUCAUAAAGUCCAGAUAAUUUUGUAUGAAUCAACACCACAGAUUUUAAAUGUUAAAAUGAGUUUAACAAAAGGUAAUCCUUGUAUACUUCCUGAAUUGUCUAUCCUUUGUCUUCUCAUCACUUAUACUUCCGCAGCUCAUGAGCUGAUCAAUGUUUUAAUCCUUUUUUUCAUUUUAAGAACUGUGCUAAGAAUAUGUAAGAAUGGAUUUUCUUUCCAUGCAAUGAUGUAUAUACAGUAUUUCAUAUUAACACAGACAUAUUUGAGUAUAUACUUGCACAUAUAUGUAAUGCACAUUCAGUCUGUGUAUUAACAUGUUUGUAUUAUACAUGUAUCAGUAUAUUCUAUGCAAUGAUUUAUAUUAACAUAUAGGUAAUACAAACGUAUAUAAACUCUAAAAAUAUGGUGAUAUUUUUCAAGUGUCCACAACAUUUGUCAGCAAUUCUGGAUAUGGGAAAACUCAUAUUUGUGUAAAGACUGAAGGUAGUUAGUGUAACUAUCCACUAUGCAUGUGUACUUACAAACCUGCAUA